rnacentral:rRNA from 1 species
CGGGAGUUGUCCUGGUGGCUUAUGGAGAACGGGUGAGUAAUAUAUCGGAACGUGCCCAGUCGUGGGGGAUAACUCUCCGAAAGGAGAGCUAAUACCGCAUACGUCCUGAGGGGGAAAGCGGGGGAUCGCAAGACCUCGCGCGAUUGGAGCGGCCGAUAUCGGAUUAGCUAGUUGGUGAGGUAAAGGCUCACCAAGGCGACGAUCCGUAGCGGGUCUGAGAGGACGGCCCGCCACACUGGAACUGAGACACGGUCCAGACUCCUACGGGAGGCAGCAGUGGGGAAUUUUGGACAAUGGGGGCAACCCUGAUCCAGCCAUUCCGCGUGAGUGAAGAAGGCCUUCGGGUUGUAAAGCUCUUUCAGCAGGAACGAAACGGUCGACUUUAAUAAAGUCGUCUAAUGACGGUACCUGCAGAAGAAGCACCGGCUAACUACGUGCCAGCAGCCGCGGUAAUACGUAGGGUGCGAGCGUUAAUCGGAAUUACUGGGCGUAAAGCGUGCGCAGGUGGCGACAUAAGACAGAUGUGAAAUCCCCGGGCUCAACCUGGGAACUGCGUUUGUGACUGUGUUGCUAGAGUGUAGCAGAGGGGGGGUGGAAUUCCACGUGUAGCAGUGAAAUGCGUAGAGAUGUGGAGGAACACCGAUGGCGAAGGCAGCCCCCUGGGUUAACACUGACGCUCAUGCACGAAAGCGUGGGGAGCAAACAGGAUUAGAUACCCUGGUAGUCCACGCCCUAAACGAUGCCUACUAGGUGUUGGGGGAGGAGACUUCCUUAGUACCGUAGCUAACGCGUGAAGUUGGCCGCCUGGGGAGUACGGUCGCAAGAUUAAAACUUAAAGGAAUUGAACGGGGACCCGCACAAGCGUUGGAUGAUGUGGAUUAAUUCGAUGCAACGCGAAAAACCUUACUUACCCUUACAUGUCCGAAAUCCUGAAGAGAUUUGGGAGGNUUUACCCAGAGCCGAACACANNNCNUCAUUCACUGCUGCCGUC